CAUGUCUAUUAUGUCCUAUAACGGAGGGGCCGUCAUGGCCAUGAAGGGGAAGAACUGUGUGGCCAUCGCUGCUGACAGGCGCUUUGGGAUCCAGGCUCAGAUGGUGACCACGGACUUCCAAAAGAUCUUUCCCAUGGGCGAAUGACUGUACAUCGGCCUGGCGGGUCUUGCCACUGACAUCCAGACAGUUGCCCAGCGCCUCAAGUUCCGGCUGAACCCGUAUGAGCUGAAGGAAGGCCGGCAGAUCAAACCUUACACCCUCAUGAGCAUGGUGGCUAACCUCUUGUACGAGAAACGGUUUGGGCCCUACUACACGGAGCCGGUCAUUGCCGGAUUGGACCCGAAGACCUUUAAGCCUUUCAUUUGCUCUCUAGACCUUAUUGGCUGCCCCAUGGUGACCGAUGACUUUGUAGUCAGUGGUACCGGCACUGAACAAAUGUACGGGAUGUGCGAGUCCCUCUGGGAGCCCAACAUGGAUCCAGAACACCUGUUUGAAACCAUCUCACAAGCCAUGCUGAAUGCUGUGGACAGGGAUGCAGUGUCAGGCAUGGGAGUCAUUGUCCACAUCAUUGAGAAGGACAAAAUCACCACGAGGACACUGAAGGCCUGCAUGGACUAACUCUUCUCAGAGCCCACUUUUUUUU